UAAAGUUGUGCAGACAGUGUUAAUGCUAUAUGUUGUGCAUUAAAAACGUAACAGAAUGCACCAAUAUCAAAUUAUGCUCAUAUGUCUGUUGGUUUCUUUAGGGCUAUGCACUGUGUGUGCUGGAUUAUGAGUUCCAAAUUUUGGACAACGCAUUCCUAGUGCACAAACCAGGUAUCAAGACAAUGAAGAAGGAUCCACAGAGGGCCAUGUUGGCCGGGAAAACCAAUGCACUCAUAAGGAAAGUGAUAUUCCCUGAACUGAAGGUGCUGUAUGGCUCCAGGAAAGGCUGUGCAGUUUGACCAAGGGAGACAACACCCAGCAGUAAAACCUCAUACAGGUGACUGUUGAGUCCAUCAACGUACUUAAUCUUAUUGUGCCAUGUUGCUUAGCAUUAAACUUCAUAUGGCAUGAAACUUGUAAUGAUAUCUGUGUUGUUAUUAUUGUAUUGGAAGGACAGCUGGUGGCAAGCUUUUUAUAGUUUUAAUCAAUUUGUUAGUUGUAAGACUUAUCAUUUAGUUUUCUUCCUUCAUAAUGGUUUAUUUUAAACAAGAUUUGACCGGGUCUUGACAGAAUAUGCUCGCUUUAUUCCCGAGUUCUCAGUCUGUAUUAUCAGAUGUCUCCCAAAAUAAUUUGUUUUAUUCCGAGAUUAGAUAUUCUGACAAAGAUGAAAAUGAUAUAACAUUUUGGAAGAACUUUCCACUCCAUACAAGUGGGAUCAUUGCAGGUAUUACAAUAGUAUGAGAAUCAAUUUGAACAGGCAUCGUUGGUCUUUGCCGUAGUUGAUUAAUUAUUUGCAUUAGAAUAUUAGGUUGGCAGUGUUUGUGAUGUAUUACUGUGCAGGGAGGGAAUUGAGGAACACAGUGACAUGCUCUCCUUUCAGAACUUCAUUUAAGUUUAUAAAUUAAAAAAAAUUUUGAAGGUGAAGGGGACAUAGAUUUACUCCAUGUACGUUCAAUUCAGAUAUUUAUACAAUAGAAAUUUCCAGUUGAUUUUCAGUUCAUUACCAAUAUUUAUGAAGCCCAGGACAUUUUAUGCAUCCUGUAAAUCCAUCCCAACGUACACACCUAAAAAGACAAAAUUCACACCGUGACAAGAAUAUAAAUAUUUUAAAAAUUUUCAAAUAUCGUUGCACAUUUUGAAAUACACUGGAUUGAAGACUAAUAUAGAUUUGUAUUGUGAAAAUUAAUUAUGUUUUUUCUAGCUGACACAGACAUAUACUGUGUUAUUCAGAUAAUAAUAUUCUUCUUCUUCUUGUAGCGUUAUAACCCUAUGUGGGUCUUGGCUUGUUCGACGAGUUUUUUCCAUUCUGUCCUAUCAUUCACAAUUCUUCUCCAUCCCCUCACUCCGAUCAUCCUCACAUCAUCCUCCUUGUCAUCUAUCCAUCGUUUCCGUGGUCUUCCCUCUCAUUCUUCUUCCCAUCGGUCUCCAUUCCAUCACUUUUCUGUUUCCUUUCAUUCUUGCAAUGUGGCCAAGCCAGGCUAACCUUUUGCUUUUGAUCAGCCUCACAAUAUCUGCUCCCUGUAUGAUACAAUCUAGUUCAUGAUUCAUCCUAAUUCUCUAGGAGCCAUCAAAUUAUUAAUAUUCCUAUACAAUUAAAAUAAUAGCACGUGUAUUUACGCCCAAACAUUAUGAGGCAGUAACUGAUGCAGAUUACAUUUACAAAUAAAACAUUAACAUGUGAUUUUUCAAAAAGGAAAAUGGUUCCAAGUAAUGAUUGCCAUUUCACUGAACAGUAAAUCUGACAUUUAUUAACUCAGUACAAGCCUCAGUCUAUAUACACUGCAGCUCUGUAAGUCGGGUGGAUACAAAGUAUUUAUCUUCCAAUAGUGAAAAGAAAAUUUCAAAUCUAUGUUUAAAUAAUAAUGUAAUUCCAGAGUUAUUCUAAAUAUUCUUCCAGGCCAGACUUCAAGUGCAUGAAAUCAUUUGUUUGUUUUUAUUGGAUUUGAUUGGGUUAAUAUCAAGGUUUUCUUUUUUCUAGUCUUAAUGGAAUAAAAGUAUAGAAAAUUUCACACAUUUCUAGAAAAGUUGUGACACGUUGAAACUAGAUGAAACACUUGAAUGCAAAGUUGAUAGAAUUGAUUCUGUGUGAAUGUUCAAUAUUGGUGCCAUUACAAACAGUAGAGAACAGAGAUAUAAUUAAGGUACUGAACAUGUCGGGAUUGUGCGAUGGUUACAAAGUCAACUCGGAAUUCACAGCAGUAUUUCAGAAUAGUUCCGAGUUCUUCAAACCAACGCGUACAUUGCGUCAUGAAGAACGCGUGCCUUAUCAUCUUUUCCGAUCCUACCUUUCUAAAGAGUAUGUACAAGAGAUUUAGUCUCUAGGAAGUAGAGUUUGGUCUCUAGAUGUGGAAUAGGUAGUAGGAAUGAUUUUUUUUAAUAAUUUAAUCUUUGGUUUCUAGAAUAAUUUUUAUAUAGGCAUAGCUGAGGCCCCACUCCUCAAAUAUUGUUUUGUUCCUCUUCAGUAUUGCAUAUUUUUUCUUGAAGUUCUAAUAAUAUUUAUUAGACAUUAUAAUGUUACAUAUUUAAUUUAUCCUUGAAUAUGACUUUUCUUACUUGAACUUUAUCUGUUUUUCUUAUGAUAUGAGCAUUACGUCUGGUUUUGAAAGGAAUAGUUUAUGAAAUUGUAUGAUUCUUGUUAAUGGAAGUGCUGAAGGGUUUGGACAGAAAACGGUAAGCUGCGCACACGUCGUAGGCUUCAGUUUCAGUAUUAUGAACGUGUGAUGUACAGCAGGGGUGAAUUUGUACCCGUAGCCCAUCAGUGCUUCUCAAACUAUUUUUCUAUAGUUUCUUUAUAUGCUACCAGAUGUUCUCACAGGCAGUAGGAUCAUAUACUGUAUAAACAACUCGGUAAAUUCAUUUCAGUUCAGUUUAUAUGUUUUUAAACCUGGCAUGUAUUUUGAUUAAUAAUAACUUAGGAAUCUUGUGUUAUAAAUGUAAGUUUUAGCAUAAGCAGAAUAGUGAAGACAAAUAUAUUUUUACAUUCUGGUA